GUUAAGUCGACCGCCUGGGGAGUACGGCCGCAAGGUUAAAACUCAAAUGAAUUGACGGGGGCCCGCACAAGCGGUGGAGCAUGUGGUUUAAUUCGAUGCAACGCGAAGAACCUUACCUGGUCUUGACAUCCACGGAAGUUUUCAGAGAUGAGAAUGUGCCUUCGGGAACCGUGAGACAGGUGCUGCAUGGCUGUCGUCAGCUCGUGUUGUGAAAUGUUGGGUUAAGUCCCGCAACGAGCGCAACCCUUAUCCUUUGUUGCCAGCGGUCCGGCCGGGAACUCAAAGGAGACUGCCAGUGAUAAACUGGAGGAAGGUGGGGAUGACGUCAAGUCAUCAUGGCCCUUACGACCAGGGCUACACACGUGCUACAAUGGCGCAUACAAAGAGAAGCGACCUCGCGAGAGCAAGCGGACCUCAUAAAGUGCGUCGUAGUCCGGAUUGGAGUCUGCAACUCGACUCCAUGAAGUCGGAAUCGCUAGUAAUCGUGGAUCAGAAUGCCACGGUGAAUACGUUCCCGGGCCUUGUACACACCGCCCGUCACACCAUGGGAGUGGGUUGCAAAAGAAGUAGGUAGCUUAACCUUCGGGAGGGCGCUUACCACUUUGUGAUUCAUGACUGGGGUGAAGUCGUAACAAGGUAACCGUAGGGGAACCUGCGGUUGGAUCACCUCCUU
rnacentral:rRNA from 1 species